GGGGAUGUCGGGUUUCGACAGGCGGUCAGAUUGAAGAAUUGCAGGUCGAGGUGCCGGUAUGCACUCUCGUUAAACAACCGGCAAAACAUAGUUGCCAAACCAGCAACUGCACCUGUCGCUCUCGCUGCUUAAUAACCAGUAGACGACCGUCCGCCCGACUUUAGCUCAUGGGGUCGGAACACGGGCGUCAUACACAUGAGAUGCGAUGACGAGGACUGUCCUCUAAUCGUCAUCAAAGACCAGAGGACCAACGCAGAGGAAUCCUGUCGAUGGGAGUCCCCAGCGUACAAGCAAAGCAUCGACUAAGCCUGUAGUACAUUCUCCGAUAAGUCCGUGUGGACAGGGAGUUCAACUCUCCCUCAUCUCCACCA
rnacentral:tmRNA from 1 species